UGGCUUCAGAAGUUGGGGAGCUGGAACCGUCGCCAUCACUUUCCAAUUUACUCGUCUAGCUAGCUGAUGGCCUGAUGCCUAUCCGUGAGUAUUAUACAUGGUUGUGUGUCUUGCUUGUUGCUCAGUAAAUGCUAUAAUUACUAGAAUGGAAUGGCUCGUGUAUACACCAUGUUUGAUUGUUUGAUAUACACACAUGUUGACAGCA